UCCUUGUAAGUUGUAAAAUGUAACAAAACAAGCUUGCUUCUCCUCUGAGAAAAGCCUCUCAUUCCCCUCCAUACGAAUACUCUCCACCCCGACAUAUUUAUUACAAAUAUUCUCUUUUUCCUCAACUUGGGAUCUUUACAUGUGUAUGCUUUUCUGUUCUUCUCUUCUCUGAUUUUCAGCCUUCCAAGAUAAGGUGAUUACUGCAUAAUUUGGAUGAGAAACCAUCAUGAUCUUGGUCAUGGCCAGCGGCAAAUUAUGAAUAAUAAGAGGGGGAGGAGAAGAAGAAAUAAAGAAAAUAAAAGUCCAUGCAUGGCUUGUUGUUGCUGCCCUUUUCUUUUGGUUUCUUCAAUAGCUAAAAGGUUCAGUAGAUGUUUGUUUGUGAGUUGUUAUCCAGUUUUACAGUGCUCUGGUUUAGAUGAACAUAGACACCACCAUCACCACCACAGGCAUUUCCAUUGAUUCCAAAGAAAAAAAAAAAUGAAUCUGUCGAAUUUCAACUUAAUUUUCUUUUUUUCCUUUUUUUUUGGGUAAUUUAUAAUGCAAAUAUACAUAUUGUAAUGUAUUAAAUUAAGAAGGUUAAUAUAUGCAAGCUUAACUAUUUAUUCAAUA